UUUUUCCGUUGCAGGUGAAUUUGAUAGCUAAACUAAGCCAUCCAUAUCUUUUAGAGUACAAAGAUGCUUGGGUGGACAAGGUAUCCUAUCAUCCAGUUUUGUGGUUGCUUGGAUCAGAAAGUGCAAAACAUAGCCUUUAAUAGUUGUGAUUAUUGCUGCAUAAGCUGCACCAGAGAAAAAGCUCGACUUUCUUUUUCUUUCAGGGGAGCUGUAUAUGCAUCGUUGCCGAUUAUUACGAAGAUGAAAAUAUGGCGGAGGUCAUGAGGAAGUCUAGAGGAGCACUUUUCCCGGAAGAGGUAGUUAAAUGCGAUUUCAAUACUUAUGAAGCUUCUCUGUGCCUUCCCGGUAGCUUAAAAAAUUGUGUGUUUUUAUGUUGUUUUUUUCCUGCUAUUAUCGAAACUCUGCAAAUGGCUGACUCAUCUAUUGUAAGCUUUGGAGCAUCUGCAUUCCAACGGCGUUCAUCAUAGAGACCUCAAGUUAUGUAACAUAUUCAUCACAAAGGACAACGACAUCAGGUUAGGUGAUUUUGGAUUAGGAAAAUUGCUAGAUGCAGAAGGCCUUGCUUCCUCGGUAUCUGGCACACCAAACGACAUGUUCCCUGAGCUCCUUGCCGGCAUACCCUAUGGCUAUAAAUCUGAUAUAUGGUCGCUUGGUAAGAAAUAAGAAUGUUGAUGAAGCAAUGUAUUUCAGCUCUUUACAUCAUGUCCCUAAUACUAACACUUUAAUGUGAUUUUAGGAUUGUGUAUGUUUGACA